UACGUAGGGUGCGAGCGUUGUCCGGAAUUAUUGGGCGUAAAGAGCUCGUAGGCGGUUUGUUGCGUCGGCUGUGAAAUCCCGAGGCUCAACCUCGGGUCUGCAGUCGAUACGAGCAAACUAGAGUGUUGCAGGGGAGACUGGAAUUCCUGGUGUAGCGGUGAAAUGCGCAGAUAUCAGGAAGAACACCUAUGGCGAAGGCAGCUCUCUGGGACGGUACUGACGCUGAGACGCGAAAGCGUGGGGAGCGAACAGG
rnacentral:rRNA from 1 species